rnacentral:rRNA from 1 species
UACGUAGGGACCAAGCGUUGUCCGGAAUCAUUGGGCGUAAAGAGCGUGUAGGCGGCUUGUUAAGCCUUGCGUGAAAUCUCGGGGCUCAACCCCGAGCGGUCGUGAGAAACUGGCAGGCUAGAGUGCGUCAGAGGGGGGUAGAAUUCCACGUGUAGCAGUGAAAUGCGUAGAGAUGUGGAGGAAUACCGAUGGCGAAGGCAGCCCGCUGGGAUGACACUGACGCUCAUGCACGAAAGCGUGGGGAGCAAACAGG